rnacentral:rRNA from 1 species
GAUAACUGAGGGCCAGGAUCGGAGGUAGUAGAGGGGGGGCAAACGUUGUUGUGGAUUACUUGGCGUAAAGCGCACGUAGGCGGCGUGGUAAGGGUCGGGUGAAAUCCCACGGCGCACCCGUGGAACGGCCCGGCAUACGGCGAUGCUAGAGUGUGGUAGGGGAGAGCGGAACUCCUGGUGGAGCGGUGAAAUGCGUAGAUAUCAGGAGGAACACCGGUGGCGAAGGCGGCUCUCUGGUCCACAACUGACGCUGAGGUGCGAAAGCUAGGGGAGCAAACGGGAUUAGAUACCCCAUUAGUC